rnacentral:rRNA from 1 species
GAUUUUAGUGGCGAACGGGUGCGUAACACGUGAGAAUCUGCCUUUAGGAAAAGGAUAACUACUAGAAAUAGUAACUAAUACUUUAUAUGCCUUAGGGUGAAAGAAGCAAUUCGCCUAAAGAGGAGCUCGCGUCUGAUUAGCUAGUUGGUAGGGUAAGAGCCUACCAAGGCGACGAUCAGUAGCUGGUUUGAGAGGAUGAUCAGCCACAUUGGAACUGAGACACGGUCCAGACUCCUACGGGAGGCAGCAGUAAGGAAUAUUCUACAAUGGGCGAAAGCCUGAUAGAGCAAUACCGCGUGAGGGACGAAUGCCUACGGGUUGUAAACCUCUUUUCUCAAGGAGGAAGAACUGACGUUACUUGAGGAAUAAGCAUCGGCUAACCCUGUGCCAGCAGCCGCGGUAAUACAGGGGAUGCAAGUUUUAUUCGGAAUUAUUGGGCGUAAAGCGUCUGCAGGUUGACAUAAAAGUCUUUUGUUAAAUAUCAGAGCUCAACUCGGAAUCUGCAAAAGAUACUAUAUGUCUUGAGUAUGGUAGAGGUAAGGGGAAUUUCCAGUGGAGCGGUGAAAUGCGUAGAUAUUGGAAAGAACACCGAUAGCGAAGGCACCUUACUGGGCCAUUACUGACACUCAGAGACGAAAGCUAGGGGAGCAAACGGGAUUAGAUACCCCGGUAGUCCUAGCCGUAAACGAUGGAUACUAGAUGUUGUAUACUUUAUUGUAAACAGUGUCGUAGCUAACGCG